GGGUUGUGAGGUUAAGCGACUAAGCGUACACGGUGGAUGCCCUGGCAGUCAGAGGCGAUGAAGGACGUGCUAAUCUGCGAUAAGCGUCGGUAAGGUGAUAUGAACCGUUAUAACCGGCGAUUUCCGAAUGGGGAAACCCAGUGUGUUUCGACACACUAUCAUUAACUGAAUCCAUAGGUUAAUGAGGCGAACCGGGGGAACUGAAACAUCUAAGUACCCCGAGGAAAAGAAAUCAACCGAGAUUCCCCCAGUAGCGGCGAGCGAACGGGGAGCAGCCCAGAGCCUGAAUCAGUGUGUGUGUUAGUGGAAGCGUCUGGAAAGGCGUGCGAUACAGGGUGACAGCCCCGUACACAAAAAUGCACAUGCUGUGAGCUCGAUGAGUAGGGCGGGACACGUGGUAUCCUGUCUGAAUAUGGGGGGACCAUCCUCCAAGGCUAAAUACUCCUGACUGACCGAUAGUGAACCAGUACCGUGAGGGAAAGGCGAAAAGAACCCCGGCGAGGGGAGUGAAAAAGAACCUGAAACCGUGUACGUACAAGCAGUGGGAGCACGCUUAGGCGUGUGACUGCGUACCUUUUGUAUAAUGGGUCAGCGACUUAUAUUCUGUAGCAAGGUUAACCGAAUAGGGGAGCCGAAGGGAAACCGAGUCUUAACUGGGCGUUAAGUUGCAGGAUAUAGACCCGAAACCCGGUGAUCUAGCCAUGGGCAGGUUGAAGGUUGGGUAACACUAACUGGAGGACCGAACCGACUAAUGUUGAAAAAUUAGCGGAUGACUUGUGGCUGGGGGUGAAAGGCCAAUCAAACCGGGAGAUAGCUGGUUCUCCCCGAAAGCUAUUUAGGUAGCGCCUCGUGAAUUCAUCUCCGGGGGUAGAGCACUGUUUCGGCAAGGGGGUCAUCCCGACUUACCAACCCGAUGCAAACUGCGAAUACCGGAGAAUGUUAUCACGGGAGACACACGGCGGGUGCUAACGUCCGUCGUGAAGAGGGAAACAACCCAGACCGCCAGCUAAGGUCCCAAAGUCAUGGUUAAGUGGGAAACGAUGUGGGAAGGCCCAGACAGCCAGGAUGUUGGCUUAGAAGCAGCCAUCAUUUAAAGAAAGCGUAAUAGCUCACUGGUCGAGUCGGCCUGCGCGGAAGAUGUAACGGGGCUAAACCAUGCACCGAAGCUGCGGCAGCGACACUAUGUGUUGUUGGGUAGGGGAGCGUUCUGUAAGCCUGUGAAGGUGUGCUGUGAGGCAUGCUGGAGGUAUCAGAAGUGCGAAUGCUGACAUAAGUAACGAUAAAGCGGGUGAAAAGCCCGCUCGCCGGAAGACCAAGGGUUCCUGUCCAACGUUAAUCGGGGCAGGGUGAGUCGACCCCUAAGGCGAGGCCGAAAGGCGUAGUCGAUGGGAAACAGGUUAAUAUUCCUGUACUUGGUGUUACUGCGAAGGGGGGACGGAGAAGGCUAUGUUGGCCGGGCGACGGUUGUCCCGGUUUAAGCGUGUAGGCUGGUUUUCCAGGCAAAUCCGGAAAAUCAAGGCUGAGGCGUGAUGACGAGGCACUACGGUGCUGAAGCAACAAAUGCCCUGCUUCCAGGAAAAGCCUCUAAGCAUCAGGUAACAUCAAAUCGUACCCCAAACCGACACAGGUGGUCAGGUAGAGAAUACCAAGGCGCUUGAGAGAACUCGGGUGAAGGAACUAGGCAAAAUGGUGCCGUAACUUCGGGAGAAGGCACGCUGAUAUGUAGGUGAAGCGACUUGCUCGUGGAGCUGAAAUCAGUCGAAGAUACCAGCUGGCUGCAACUGUUUAUUAAAAACACAGCACUGUGCAAACACGAAAGUGGACGUAUACGGUGUGACGCCUGCCCGGUGCCGGAAGGUUAAUUGAUGGGGUUAGCCGCAAGGCGAAGCUCUUGAUCGAAGCCCCGGUAAACGGCGGCCGUAACUAUAACGGUCCUAAGGUAGCGAAAUUCCUUGUCGGGUAAGUUCCGACCUGCACGAAUGGCGUAAUGAUGGCCAGGCUGUCUCCACCCGAGACUCAGUGAAAUUGAACUCGCUGUGAAGAUGCAGUGUACCCGCGGCAAGACGGAAAGACCCCGUGAACCUUUACUAUAGCUUGACACUGAACAUUGAGCCUUGAUGUGUAGGAUAGGUGGGAGGCUUUGAAGUGUGGACGCCAGUCUGCAUGGAGCCGACCUUGAAAUACCACCCUUUAAUGUUUGAUGUUCUAACGUUGACCCGUAAUCCGGGUUGCGGACAGUGUCUGGUGGGUAGUUUGACUGGGGCGGUCUCCUCCUAAAGAGUAACGGAGGAGCACGAAGGUUGGCUAAUCCUGGUCGGACAUCAGGAGGUUAGUGCAAUGGCAUAAGCCAGCUUGACUGCGAGCGUGACGGCGCGAGCAGGUGCGAAAGCAGGUCAUAGUGAUCCGGUGGUUCUGAAUGGAAGGGCCAUCGCUCAACGGAUAAAAGGUACUCCGGGGAUAACAGGCUGAUACCGCCCAAGAGUUCAUAUCGACGGCGGUGUUUGGCACCUCGAUGUCGGCUCAUCACAUCCUGGGGCUGAAGUAGGUCCCAAGGGUAUGGCUGUUCGCCAUUUAAAGUGGUACGCGAGCUGGGUUUAGAACGUCGUGAGACAGUUCGGUCCCUAUCUGCCGUGGGCGCUGGAGAACUGAGGGGGGCUGCUCCUAGUACGAGAGGACCGGAGUGGACGCAUCACUGGUGUUCGGGUUGUCAUGCCAAUGGCACUGCCCGGUAGCUAAAUGCGGAAGAGAUAAGUGCUGAAAGCAUCUAAGCACGAAACUUGCCCCGAGAUGAGUUCUCCCUGACUCCUUGAGAGUCCUGAAGGAACGUUGAAGACGACGACGUUGAUAGGCCGGGUGUGUAAGCGCAGCGAUGCGUUGAGCUAACCGGUACUAAUGAACCGUGAGGCUUAACCUUACAACGCCGAAGGUGUUU
rnacentral:rRNA from 2 species